CGUCAGACGAACGCUGGCGGCGUGCUUAACACAUGCAAGUCGAACGAUGAAGCCCUUCGGGGUGGAUUAGUGGCGAACGGGUGAGUAACACGUGGGCAAUCUGCCCUUCACUCUGGGACAAGCCCUGGAAACGGGGUCUAAUACCGGAUAACACUCUGUCCCGCAUGGGACGGGGUUGAAAGCUCCGGCGGUGAAGGAUGAGCCCGCGGCCUAUCAGCUUGUUGGUGGGGUGAUGGCCUACCAAGGCGACGACGGGUAGCCGGCCUGAGAGGGCGACCGGCCACACUGGGACUGAGACACGGCCCAGACUCCUACGGGAGGCAGCAGUGGGGAAUAUUGCACAAUGGGCGAAAGCCUGAUGCAGCGACGCCGCGUGAGGGAUGACGGCCUUCGGGUUGUAAACCUCUUUCAGCAGGGAAGAAGCGAAAGUGACGGUACCUGCAGAAGAAGCGCCGGCUAACUACGUGCCAGCAGCCGCGGUAAUACGUAGGGCGCAAGCGUUGUCCGGAAUUAUUGGGCGUAAAGAGCUCGUAGGCGGCUUGUUGCGUCGGUUGUGAAAGCCCGGGGCUUAACCCCGGGUCUGCAGUCGAUACGGGCAGGCUAGAGUGUGGUAGGGGAGAUCGGAAUUCCUGGUGUAGCGGUGAAAUGCGCAGAUAUCAGGAGGAACACCGGUGGCGAAGGCGGAUCUCUGGGCCAUUACUGACGCUGAGGAGCGAAAGCGUGGGGAGCGAACAGGAUUAGAUACCCUGGUAGUCCACGCCGUAAACGUUGGGAACUAGGUGUUGGCGACAUUCCACGUCGUCGGUGCCGCAGCUAACGCAUUAAGUCCCCGCA
rnacentral:rRNA from 1 species